rnacentral:rRNA from 1 species
AGUGAACGCUGGCGGUAGGCCUAACACAUGCAAGUCGAACGGCAGCACAGUAAGAGCUUGCUCUUACGGGUGGCGAGUGGCGGACGGGUGAGGAAUAAAUCGGCAUCUACUUUUUCGUGGGGGAUAACGUAGGGAAACUUACGCUAAUACCGCAUACGACCUACGGGUGAAAGCAGGGGUUCUUCGGACCUUGCGCGAUUGAAUGAGCCGAUGUCGGAUUAGCUAGUUGGCGGGGUAAAGGCCCACCAAGGCGACGAUCCGUAGCUGGUCUGAGAGGAUGAUCAGCCACACUGGAACUGAGACACGGUCCAGACUCCUACGGGAGGCAGCAGUGGGGAAUAUUGGACAAUGGGCGCAAGCCUGAUCCAGCCAUACCGCGUGGGUGAAGAAGGCCUUCGGGUUGUAAAGCCCUUUUGUUGGGAAGGAAAAGCAGCAGGUUAAUACCCCGCUGUUCUGACGGUACCCAAAGAAUAAGCACCGGCUAACUUCGU